rnacentral:rRNA from 1 species
GACGUAGGGGGCAAGCGUUAUUCGGAAUUAUUGGGCGUAAAGCGCUCGUAGGCUGGACGACAAGUCCGUGUUGAAAGACCUCGGCUCAACUGAGGGACCGGCUCGGAUACUGUCGUUCUUGAGGCAAUCAGAGGGUGAUGGAAUUCCCGGUGUAGCGGUGAAAUGCGCAGAUAUCGGGAAGAACACCCGUGGCUAAGGCGGCUCUCUAGUACGGUACUGACGCUGAGACGCGAAAGCGUGGGGAGCGAACAGG